rnacentral:ncRNA from 1 species
GACUACCCGCUGAGUUUAAGCAUAUAAACAAGCGGAGGAGAAGAAACUUACAAGGAUUCCCUUAGUAAUGGCGAGCGAACCAGGAACAACCCAACUUGAGAAUCACGCGUCUGUGCUGUCCGAAUCGUAGUAUGGAGAGGCGUCCUCAGUGACCGACCGGGCCCAAGUCCGCUGGAAAGGGGAGCCUUGGAGGGUGAGAGCCCCAUCCGGCCCGGACCCUGUCGCCCCACGAGGCGCGG